UUGGUGGUGAGGUUUAGUGCUUCUUCCUUGA
rnacentral:tRNA from 1 species